GUUUUUUUUUGGAGAGUUUGAUCCCGGCUCAGGAUAAACGCUGGCGGCGUGCCUAAUGCAUGCAAGUCGAACGGUCCUUCAUCUUUCGGGAUGAAGGGUAGUGGCGAACGGGUGAGUAACGCGUAAGCAACCUACCCCUAAGUGGGGAAUAACCUCGGGAAACUGGGGCUAAUACCUCGUGUGAUCCUUCGCUGAAGGGUUAAGGAUUAAAGCCUUCGGGUGCUUAGGGAUGGGCUUGCGUCUGAUUAGCUAGUUGGUGGGGUAAC
rnacentral:rRNA from 1 species